rfam:Gavia stellata contig78916, whole genome shotgun sequence.
GUGGGGUAUGGGGACAUGUAUCCCAUGACAAUUGGUGGCAAGAUUGUGGGUUCCUUGUGUGCCAUCGCAGGUGUGCUCACCAUUGCCCUCCCUGUCCCUGUCAUCGUGUCCAAC